CCCAUCGCCAUUAAAUGGGGAGCGUUACUAAACAAGAAAUUGGUUUGCAAGCGGAAGUCAAAGGGUGAACAGAAGAAGACUCAAUCGAACCCUUUACAGUUGUACAAA